GACGAACGCUGGCGGCGUGCUUAACACAUGCAAGUCGAACGGAAAGGCCCUGCUUUUGUGGGGUGCUCGAGUGUCGAACGGGUGAGUAACACGUGAGUAACCUGCCCUUGACUUUGGGAUAACUUCAGUAAACUGGGGCUAAUACCGGAUAGGAGCUCCUGCUGCAUGGUGGGGGUUGGAAAGUUUCGGCGGUUGGGGAUGGACUCGCGGCUUAUCAGCUUGUUGGUGGGGUAGUGGCUUACCAAGGCUUUGACGGGUAGCCGGCCUGAGAGGGUGACCGGCCACAUUGGGACUGAGAUGCGGCCCAGACUACUACGGGAGGAAGCAGUGGGGAAUAUUGCACAAUGGGCGGAAGACUGAUGCAGCAACGCCGCGGGCGGGAUGAAGGACUUCGGGUUGUAAACCGCUUUCGCCUGUGAAGAAGCGGGAGUGACGGUAAUGGGUAAAGAAGCACCGGCUAACUACGUG
rnacentral:rRNA from 1 species